rnacentral:rRNA from 1 species
GCGAGUGAAGCGGCAACAGCUCAAAUUUGAAAUCUGGCCCCCGGGUCCGAGUUGUAAUUUGUAGAGGAUGCUUUUGGUGAGGCACCUUCCGAGUUCCCUGGAACGGGACGCCAUAGAGGGUGAGAGCCCCGUCUGGUCGGAUACCGAUCCUCUGUAAAGCUCCUUCGACGAGUCGAGUAGUUUGGGAAUGCUGCUCUAAAUGGGAGGUAUAUGUCUUCUAAAGCUAAAUAUAGGCCAGAGACCGAUAGCGCACAAGUAGAGUGAUCGAAAGAUGAAAAGCACUUUGAAAAGAGGGUUAAACAGUACGUGAAAUUGUUGAAAGGGAAGCGCUUGUGACCAGACUUGGGCCCGGUUAAUCAUCCAGCGUUCUCGCUGGUGCACUUGGCCGGCCCAGGCCAGCAUCAGUUCGGCGUGGGGGAUAAAGGCGGCGGGAAUGUGGCUCCUCCGGGAGUGUUAUAGCCCACCGUGUAAUACCCUGUGCUGGACUGAGGUUCGCGCAU